UACGAAGGGUGCAAGCGUUGCUCGGAAUUAUUGGGCGUAAAGGGUGCGUAGGCGGCGCGGUAAGUCGGGUGUGAAAUCUUGGAGCUUAACUCCGAAACUGCAUUCGAUACUGCCGUGCUUGAGGACUGGAGAGGAGACUGGAAUUUACGGUGUAGCGGUGAAAUGCGUAGAUAUCGUAAGGAAGACCAGUGGCGAAGGCGGGUCUCUGGACAGUUCCUGACGCUGAGGCACGAAGGUCAGGGGAGCAAACAGG
rnacentral:rRNA from 1 species